GGUGGAGUGGUGCAUUAUCCUAGUCAGUCUAACCCUGUCGAAGACGGGGCUAAAAAUCCGUUAAGGGCACAUCGAUGAAGUUCCUGGUGUUGGCUUGAGGCGCCCAGCUUUGGGCUGAUGCUGGGAGUUAAGGUUGAAGGGCGAUCCACAAGGGCAUGUGGGCGACGACCCUUCUUCCGUGGAGACUCAUGUUUGUCGCGCGAGGCCACCGCGCCGAAGGCGACGACUUGGGAAUGAACCUGCAUGCGGGGAUUAAAACUUGUGUGUAGCGUAGCCUGCCUUGAGUGGGCGCGGAGGGGAUUAUCUUAUUAAAAACGAUGACUUCUCGGCCAAGAAGCGACUCGUUGAUCGAGAUAUGAAAUCCGCCCUGCAAAAGAGGCUAGAAGGUUUGUUAGACUGUUGAGGAAAACUCCUAGGCUGUCUGCUUUAGCAGGAUUGUGCGAGGAUUAUAGUGCGGACUAAGUGGCAAUCCAGUCCGACGCGGGGAAACCCCGUCGAGUAAUGCUUAAAGGGAAACCGUCCAGGACGGCGACGCCUGGGUGCAUUGCUGGGAAAACCUACUGGACCUAAGCCGUAAUUUUUACUUGCGCAAUUACCACUCCCCAAA
rnacentral:sRNA from 1 species